UGUUUUGUACCAUGAUAAGUAAACCAGGAUCUGAUGAUGGGAUCCCAGAGAAAUCGAGAGAAACUCUUGAAAAUCCGCAAUAACUUUUUACUGUGUAUACCGAUUUUGAUAAUUCUUUUUUUGUUGGAAAGAAGAUAUCCCUAGUUUAGUACCAUGAUAAGGAAACCAGGAUCUGAUGAUGGGAUCCCAGAGAAAUCGAGGGAACUUCUUGAAAAUCCGCAAUAACUUUUUACUGGGUGUACCGAUUUUGAUAAUUUUUAAUUUAAUCGAUAGCUGAUGUUUGUCAUGUGGUCACGUAUAAAUUUUAUUGAGAUCUGAUAACUACUUUUUGAGUAAUCUUUGAUAACGCGUAGUUACUUGACUAUUUUUGCGUCGAUCUACGUU
rnacentral:misc_RNA from 1 species